rnacentral:lncRNA from 1 species
UUUAUUAUUUUUGAACCUGGAGCAUUUUCUGUUGGACGUUACAGGAUCUUACUGCUUUAAAUCAUACAUUAUUAAAAAAAAUGAGGGUUUAUUCUUUGAAUUACCCUUUUGUAUGCAGGAGUGAAGACUGCUUUUUUAGUUGACCAUUCAAAAUCGUUGAAUUUUAGUUUUUGCAGACUACUAAAAUUUGCAGUGACUUUUUUUUUGUAAGGGGGGUAAAUGAAACAUUUAGCAGCCUUUGAAAUCAGCAAGUUGCUUAGAUAGUACUUUAGAUUUUGAAACUGAAUAUAACAGUGUUAGAAAAGUAUGUGUAAGGAAUUGUAUUUACGUGCAUACUAGUAGUACAAUACUUAUAGCUGAAUUUGGUUGGCAAAAGUAUGUUUUCAUUUUAUUACGACUGCUAGUCAGACAGGUGAUUUGGCUUCUGCACAGUUAGGAGGAGCACCAAACCGAUGGGAGGUUUUGUCAGCCACACCUACAACUAUAAAAGAUGAAGCUGGUAAUCUAGUCCAGAUUCCAAGUGCUGCUACUUCAAGUGGGCAGUAUGUUCUUCCCCUUCAGAAUUUG